rnacentral:misc_RNA from 1 species
GAUGAAGAACGCAGCGAAAUGCGAUAAGUAAUGUGAAUUGCAGAAUUCAGUGAAUCAUCGAAUCUUUGAACGCACAUUGCGCCCGCCAGUAUUCUGGCGGGCAUGCCUGUUCGAGCGUCAUUUCAACCAUCAAGCCCCAGGCUUGUGUUGGGGACCUGCGGCUGCCGCAGGCCCUGAAAACCAGUGGCGGGCUCGCUGUCACACCGGGCGUAGUAGAUUUUAUCUCCCUCUGGGCGUGCUGCGGGUUCCGGCCGUUAAAAAACCCUUUUAACCCAAGGUUGACCUCGGAUCAGGUAGGAAUACCCGCUGAACUUAAGCAUAUCAAUAAGCGGAGGA